rnacentral:rRNA from 1 species
CAGAUUGAACGCUGGCGGCAGGCCUAACACAUGCAAGUCGAGCGCUUCCCUUCGGGGAGGAGCGGCGGACGGGUUAGUAACGCGUGGGAAUAUACCCAGUUCUAAGGAAUAGCCAUUGGAAACGAUGAGUAAUACCUUAUACGCCCUUCGGGGGAAAGAUUUAUCGGAGAAGGAUUAGCCCGCGUUAGAUUAGGUAGUUGGUGGGGUAAUGGCCUACCAAGCCUACGAUCUAUAGCUGGUUUUAGAGGAUGAUCAGCCACACUGGGACUGAGACACGGCCCAGACUCCUACGGGAGGCAGCAGUGAGGAAUCUUAGACAAUGGGCGCAAGCCUGAUCUAGCCAUGCCGCGUGUGUGAUGAAGGCCUUAGGGUCGUAAAGCACUUUCGCCAGAGAUGAUAAUGACAGUAUCUGGUAAAGAAACCCCGGCUAACUCCGUGCCAGCAGCCGCGGUAAUACGGAGGGGGUUAGCGUUGUUCGGAAUUACUGGGCGUAAAGCGUACGUAGGCGGAUUAGUAAGUUAGAGGUGAAAUCCCAGGGCUCAACCUUGGAACUGCCUUUAAUACUGCUAGUCUUGAGUUCGAGAGAGGUGAGUGGAAUUCCAAGUGUAGAGGUGAAAUUCGUAGAUAUUUGGAGGAACACCAGUGGCGAAGGCGGCUCACUGGCUCGAUACUGACGCUGAGGUACGAAAGUGUGGGGAGCAAACAGG